rnacentral:tRNA from 3 species
GGAGAGAUGUCCGAGUGGCUGAAGGAGCGCGACUGGAAAUCGCGUGUACGCCCUCAAAGGUGUGCCGGGGGUUCGAAUCCCCCUCUCUCCGCCA